UUUUAUAUAGGGCAAAAUCAUUGAAAAAUGAUGACGCAAAGCUAUAGGGACCUCUUUCCAUUGGAAAAAGUCUGCCAGCUACCAUC
rnacentral:ncRNA from 1 species